GAAUUCACUAGUGAUUCAGGCCUAACACAUGCAAGUCGAGCGAUGAAACCCUUCGGGGUGAAUUAGCGGCGGACGGGUGAGUAACACGUGGGUAACCUGCCUCAAAGAGGGGAAUAGCCUCCCGAAAGGGAGAUUAAUACCGCAUAAUAUGUUUUGAUCGCAUGAUCAGAAUAUCAAAGGAUUCUCUUCGGAGAUUCCACUUUGAGAUGGACCCGCGGCGCAUUAGCUAGUUGGUGAGGUAACGGCUCACCAAGGCAACGAUGCGUAGCCGACCUGAGAGGGUGAUCGGCCACAUUGGAACUGAGACACGGUCCAGACUCCUACGGGAGGCAGCAGUGGGGAAUAUUGCGCAAUGGGGGAAACCCUGACGCAGCAACGCCGCGUGAAUGAAAGAGGCCUUCGGGUUGUAAAGUUCUGUCUUCUGGACGAUAAUGAC
rnacentral:rRNA from 1 species